ACCGCUGAGCUAUCUCUCCAGCCCAUCUUUAACUUUUGAAAUAAAACAUCUGGAUAUGGGGCUGGAGAGAUGGCUCAGCGGU
rnacentral:pre_miRNA from 1 species